rnacentral:tRNA from 1 species
CAGGGCAUAGCUAAAUAGCAAAGCGUUUCCCUUACACCGAAAAAUCAUCCGUGCAAACCGGAUUGCCCUGA